AGUGAACGCUGGCGGUAGGCCUAACACAUGCAAGUCGAACGGCAGCACAGUAAGAGCUUGCUCUUACGGGUGGCGAGUGGCGGACGGGUGAGGAAUACAUCGGAAUCUACUUUUUCGUGGGGGAUAACGUAGGGAAACUUACGCUAAUACCGCAUACGACCUACGGGUGAAAGCAGGGGGUCUUCGGACCUUGCGCGAUUGAAUGAGCCGAUGUCGGAUUAGCUAGUUGGCGGGGUAAAGGCCCACCAAGGCGACGAUCCGUAGCUGGUCUGAGAGGAUGAUCAGCCACACUGGAACUGAGACACGGUCCAGACUCCUACGGGAGGCAGCAGUGGGGAAUAUUGGACAAUGGGCGCAAGCCUGAUCCAGCCAUACCGCGUGGGUGAAGAAGGCCUUCGGGUUGUAAAGCCCUUUUGUUGGGAAAGAAAAGCAGCAGGUUAAUACCCCGCUGUUCUGACGGUACCCAAAGAAUAAGCAUCGGCUAACUUCGUG
rnacentral:rRNA from 1 species